UACGUAGGGGCCUAGCGUUGUCCGGAUUUAUUGGGCGUAAAGAGCUCGUAGGCGGUUCGGCAAGUCGGAUGUGAAAUCCUGGAGCUCAACUCCAGAACUGCCUUUGAUACUGAGGAUCUUGAGUUCGGGAGAGGUGAGUGGAACUGCGAGUGUAGAGGUGAAAUUCGUAGAUAUUCGCAAGAACACCAGUGGCGAAGGCGGCUCACUGGCCCGAUACUGACGCUGAGGCACGAAAGCGUGGGGAGCAAACAGG
rnacentral:rRNA from 1 species